UUAAGUUAGGUGGCAACAUAAACUACUCAGCAAGCAAAGCCGUCUUAAUUAUGAUCUGUGUGUUCCUAUAAUUCCAUUUGUGAGUUUAGUUUUGCAGUGAUUUGUAUGAAAUUGUGCGGAGCCAGCUUACCGGUACACCAUACGUCAAUUGCCUGCAACCAAAGCAGAACCAAAGUGGCUGCCUAGGGCCCAUAGGUUAGACAGGGGGCCGUAUAAUUAUGAAUUUAUCUACUUGUCAUUAAUUCCUAUAUGAAGAAUGAAUCAGGGGAGGGGGGCUGAUAACCGGUUUAGGGCUCACGUAGGUUCCUUCUUUCCCUGCAAUUUAUGUUUACAUAUUUACCAACAUUAAGAAUCUGCAUUGCAGGCAAAUUGGUGCAGGUAGUACUUGAAAGUCUAGUACUGUCCAUUUCAAUACAAGAUCACUGCUGGCAAACUGCUAUCUUUCCACUGAAUUUUUUUUAUGUUUAUGGGGGAAAAAAAUGAAUAGCUGCGCCUGAGAUUGCCUGUACCUAAUUAUUUCCCCUAAAAGUUCUUAAAUUGAAAUUAAUUAAAAA